rnacentral:rRNA from 1 species
AACGAACGCUGGCGGCAUGCCUGGGACCUGCAGGUCGAACGGGCCCUUCGGGUCUAGUGGCGCACGGGUGCGUAACGCGUGGGAACCUGCCCUUAGGUUCGGAAUAACUCCCCGAAAGGGGUGCUAAUACCGGAUAAUGUCUUCGGACCAAAGAUUUAUCGCCUUUGGAUGGGCCCGCGUUGGAUUAGCUAGUUGGUAGGGUAAAAGCCUACCAAGGCGACGAUCCAUAGCUGGUCUGAGAGGAUGAUCAGCCACACUGGGACUGAGACACGGCCCAGACUCCUACGGGAGGCAGCAGUGGGGAAUAUUGGACAAUGGGCGAAAGCCUGAUCCAGCAAUGCCGCGUGAGUGAUGAAGGCCUUAGGGUUGUAAAGCUCUUUUACCCGGGAUGAUAAUGACAGUACCGGGAGAAUAAGCUCCGGCUAACUCCGUG